GCGGCUGUCUAGUCUGUAACUGACGCUGAGGCUCGAAAGCAUGGGUAGCGAACAGGAUUAGAUACCCUGGUAGUCCAUGCCGUAAACGAUGAGUGCUAAGUGUUGGAGGGUUUCCGCCCUUCAGUGCUGCAGCUAACGCAUUAAGCACUCCGCCUGGGGAGUACGACCGCAAGGUUGAAACUCAAAGGAAUUGACGGGGGCCCGCACAAGCGGUGGAGCAUGUGGUUUAAUUCGAAGCUACGCGAAGAACCUUACCAGGUCUUGACAUCUUCUGCCAAUCUUAGAGAUAAGACGUUCCCUUCGGGGACAGAAUGACAGGUGGUGCAUGGUUGUCGUCAGCUCGUGUCGUGAGAUGUUGGGUUAAGUCCCGCAACGAGCGCAACCCUUAUUAUCAGUUGCCAGCAUUCAGUUGGGCACUCUGGUGAGACUGCCGGUGACAAACCGGAGGAAGGUGGGGAUGACGUCAAAUCAUCAUGCCCCUAUGACCUGGGCUACACACGUGCUACAAUGGACGGUACAACGAGUCGCGAAGUCGUGAGGCUAAGCUAAUCUCUUAAAGCCGUUCUCAGUUCGGAUUGUAGGCUGCAACUCGCCUACAUGAAGUUGGAAUCGCUAGUAAUCGCGGAUCAGCAUGCCGCGGUGAAUACGUUCCCGGGCCUUGGAACACC
rnacentral:rRNA from 2 species